UCCCCCCUCAAACCUCGGGUUUGGUGUUGGAUCGUGUCGAUCGUGUCGAUCGACUGGUCUCAAAGACAAUGACGGUGUCCGUGGGGCCCUCGACGCAACGAGCUUUUUCUCCGAAGCACGCGUCGAGUUGCAAGGACCCUCCGGGCCGGUCUUUACACCUCUUUGGGUGAUUUCUUUCUAA
rnacentral:misc_RNA from 1 species